rnacentral:lncRNA from 1 species
GCGGAUCGCAAGGGGAAAAGACCCCGGAAGUACGCCAAAGUAUAAAACCUCAGGUUAAAAGGUCAAAACUAGUACUUGUCCUUCAAGUCGCCCACUUGGCCCUCUUCCAGAUCAUAUGAAGUGUGCGUAUGGUACCUAUUGGAGCUAUCUUGAGCCCAUAUAAAGAGUAAGCUUUAGAAUGACGGCGACUCACAGAGAAAGCUAAGAAUCAUCAGAAAAUGAAAAUCGAUGUCUCUGAAGUCUCUCUUCAGCCAGGAGGCUUUUCCUAUUGAAGCACUCUGGGGCACAUUGAUUUCUCCUAUGUUUUAACUUCAAACAUGGCAUCAUCUGAAACCUAUAUUUUGAUUAUGGGUUUGUCUGCAAGGUUUUUUUCAAAUUGGCACAAAUUUCCAAAAAGGUUUCUGAAAUAUUUAUUGAAAAAAAAUCCACAUAUCAUUGGAGCCACACCAAUCAAACCUGUGUUGUUCAAGGGUCAACUGUAUUCUCUAAAGUCUCAAUUCAUGAACUCAAUGCUUUCAUUUGCAGUAGUUUAUCUACUUUGUAAAAUAUAUCUUUUUGAGGAAAUAAACAUGUAUACUUAAAUUCAUCUCACCAA